rnacentral:rRNA from 1 species
AUUGAACGCUGGCGGCAGGCCUAACACAUGCAAGUCGAACGAGUGGCGGACGGGUGAGUAAUGUCUGGGAAACUGCCUGAUGGAGGGGGAUAACUACUGGAAACGGUAGAUAACACCGCAUACCAUGGGAUGUGCCCAUAUGGGUUUUGCUAGUAGGUGGGGUAAUGGCUCACCUAUGACACGACCCCUAGCUGGUCUGAGAGGAUGACCAGCCACACUGGAACUGAGACACGGCCCAGAUUCCUACGGGAGGCAGCAGUGGGGAAUAUUGGACAAUGGGCGAAAUCCUGAUGCAGCCAUGCCGCGUGUAUGAUGAAGGCCUUCGGGUUGUAAAGUACUUUCAGCAGGGAGGCGUUACCCGCAGAAGAAGCACCGGCUAACUCCGUGCCAGCAGCCGCGGUAAUAC